AUUGAACGCUGGCGGCAGGCCUAACACAUGCAAGUCGAGCGGAGCGGCGGACGGGUGAGUAAUGCCUAGGAAUCUGCCUGGUGGUGGGGGAUAACGUCCGGAAACGGGCGCUAAUACCGCAUACUAUCAGAUGAGCCUAAGUCGGAUUAGCUAGUUGGUGGGGUAAAGGCCUACCAAGGCGACGAUCCGUAACUGGUCUGGGAGGAUGAUCAGCCACACUGGGACUGAGACACGGGCCAGACUCCUACGGGAGGCAGCAGUUGGGAAUUUUGGGCAAUGGGGGGAAGCCUGAAGCAGCCAUGGCGGGUGGAUGAAGAAGGCCUUCGGGUUGUAAAGGACUUUUAGUUGGGAGGCGUUACCAACAGAAUAAGCACCGGCUAACUCCGUGCCAGCAGCCGCGGUAAUUC
rnacentral:rRNA from 1 species